rnacentral:rRNA from 1 species
AGAGUUUGAUCAUGGCUCAGGAUGAACGCUGGCGGCAUGCCUAACACAUGCAAGUCGAACGAGAUCUUCGGAUCUAGUGGCGCACGGGUGAGUAACGCGUGGGAACCUACCUUUUAGUACGGGACAACGUUUGGAAACGAAUGCUAAUACCGUAUACGCCCUCCGGGGGAAAGGUCAGCCGCUGAAAGAGGGGCCCGCGUCUGAUUAGCUUGUUGGUAAGGUAACGGCUUACCAAGGCUACGAUCAGUAGCUGGUCUGAGAGGAUGAUCAGCCACACUGGGACUGAGACACGGCCCAGACUCCUACGGGAGGCAGCAGUGGGGAAUAUUGGACAAUGGAGGCAACUCUGAUCCAGCAAUGCCGCGUGUGUGAUGAAGGCCCUAGGGUUGUAAAGCACUUUCAACGGUGAAGAUGAUGACGGUAGCCGUAGAAGAAGCCCCGGCUAACUUCGUGCCAGCAGCCGCGGUAAUACGAAGGGGGCGAGCGUAGUUCGGAAUUACUGGGCUUAAAGAGUUCGUAGGUGGUUGAAAAAGUUGGUGGUGAAAUCCCAGAGCUUAACUCUGGAACUGCCAUCAAAACUUUUUAGCUAGAGUAUGAUAGAGGAAAGCAGAAUUUCUAGUGUAGAGGUGAAAUUCGUAGAUAUUAGAAAGAAUACCAAUUGCGAAGGCAGCUUUCUGGAUCAUUACUGACACUGAGGAACGAAAGCAUGGGUAGCGAAGAGGAUUAGAUACCCUCGUAGUCCAUGCCGUAAACGAUGUGUGUUAGACGUUGGAAAUUUAUUUUCAGUGUCGCAGCGAAAGCAAUAAACACACCGCCUGGGGAGUACGACCGCAAGGUUAAAACUCAAAUGAAUUGACGGGGACCCGCACAAGUAGUGGAGCAUGUGGUUUAAUUCGAAGAUACGCGCAGAACCUUACCAACACUUGACAUGUUCGUCGCGACUUUAAGAGAUUAAAGUUUUCGGUUCGGCCGGACGAAACACAGGUGCUGCAUGGCUGUCGUCAGCUCGUGUCGUGAGAUGUUGGGUUAAGUCCCGCAACGAGCGCAACCCUCACUUUUAGUUGCCAUCAUUUAGUUGGGCACUCUGAAAGAACUGCCAGUGAUAAGCUGGAGGAAGGUGGGGAUGACGUCAAGUCCUCAUGGCCCUUACGUGUUGGGCUACACACGUGCUACAAUGGCAUUUACAAUAGGAAGCAAGACGGCGACGUCAAGCAAAUCCUAAAAAGAUGCCUCAGUUCGGAUUGUACUCUGCAACUCGAGUACAUGAAGCUGGAAUUACUAGUAAUCGCGGAUCAGCGCGCCGCGGUGAAUACGUUCCCGGGUCUUGUACACACCGCCCGUCACACCAUGGGAGUUGGUUCUACCUUAAGGCAAGGUUUUAAACCCUUGACUACGGUAUAGUCAGCGACUGGGGUGAAGUCAUAACAAGGUAGCCGUA